UAUAAAUACUAAAAGUUGAAAAGGUAAGUUAUCAUUUCUUUCCUAGCAAUACACGUGAAUCACCCAAGAUAUUUUGCUGGACUUCUUGGCUGCACCAGAAAUUCCCUUGGUCAUUCUUGCUUUACUUCUUUGUUUUCUUCCUUCUUUGUUCUUAUUGGUUGCACCUUUAUCCCUUCUUUGACUUUCUCAAAGAAAGAAGACUCAAGAAGCUCCCCCUCUCUUUUCCCACGGGUCCAAUUAAAUCAGAAAAUUCUCACUUCACUUUUCUCUCUUUUAUCUUAAGGAAAGUGCUUGGAAGCUCUCUUGAGUCUUCCCUCAAGUCCACGGGUUCACACACCAAAAGAAAACUCAAUUCUUCUUCAUAUUCUCUCUAAGGAACCAGAAAACUCUCUCAAGCUCUCUACCAUUCUUUCAUGAGUGGUUCUAUGUCUAUUUUUCCCCUCAAGAAACAUAAACUUGGUGUGACCAGUAUCCAAGUCUAAGCUCCUUUGACUUUAGGCUCUCGGUUCCUCUGCUCUCAGGUAAGGGAUAAGUUAUAUGAGCAUUUGUUAGCAGGUUUUAUUUUGGAGCAGAGGGAGCCUUAGUUGAGUUUUGGAAGGAGCUGGUUUAGUUUUAUAUGUAUAAAUCCUAGAUUAGCAAUUUUAUGUUUAGCUUUGUAGUAUCGUGUAUUUUAGGAUCUAAAGAAAGUUGUGUAUCUUAAAGUAUUAAGAGAUGUAUUAUGUGAAAGUGUGGAACUUAAAUG